AAGGAAGGCAGCAGGCGCGCAAAUUACCCAAUUCUAACAGUUUGAGAGAGGUAGUAACAAGAAAUAACAAUACAAGGCAGUUAAAAUGCUUUGUAAUUGGAAUGAUAGAAAUUUAAACCCUUUUUAAAGUAUCAAUUGGAGGGCAAGUCUGGUGCCAGCAGCCGCGGUAAUUCCAGCUCCAAUAGCGUAUAUUAAAAUUGUUGCAGUUAAAAAGCUCGUAGUUGAAGUUCUGCUGAAAGUAACCGGUCUGCUUUUAAUAAAAGUGGUAUCUUGGUAUGUAUUUAGCAAUGAUGUCCUUUGAAGUGUUUUUUACUUUAUUGUAAUAAAGCAUAUUCAGGACUUUUACUUUGAGAAAAUUAGAGUGUUUCUAGCAGGCUGACGCUUUGAAUACUGCAGCAUGGAAUAAUAAGAUAGGAUUUUAGUUCUACAUUAUUGGUUUUAAGAGCUAAAUUAAUGAUUGAUAGGGACAGUUGGGGGCAUUUGUAUUUAACUGUCAGAGGUGAAAUUCUUAGAUUUGUUAAAGACAAACUACUGCGAAAGCAUUUGCCAAAGAUGUUUUCAUUAAUCAAGAACGAAAGUUAGGGGAUCGAAGACGAUCAGAUACCGUCGUAGUCUUAACUAUAAACUAUGCCGACUAGAGAUUGGAGGUCGUCUUUAUAAACGACUCCUUCAGCACCUUACGAGAAAUCAAAGUCUUUGGGUCU
rnacentral:rRNA from 1 species